CUGUCUUAUUUUAGGACACUGCAUUCAUAGCACAUUCUACAAUUAUUCUUGAGAACUGUGAGAAAAUGGGGAAAAAUGGGUUGGUGUAAGGUCACUCAGAGAAUUAUUCUCCAGUCAACAAAUAUAUCUGCAGCAAGAUCGUAUUUCAGGUGAGCUGGUAGAGCUACUCCAUAAGUGGAAACAUUUCUUAUACAGUUCUGCUUCCUUCACUCUCUGAGAGUUAUUGUUAUGAUGACUCUCCAAUGAACCUCCUGUAUCUCUGCUGCAUGUCUAUUAUCUGGGGUAAUCUCCCCAAAAAGUAGUGUCAAGCAGCAUGUCUGAUUAUUCAACUUACGCAGAAAUAGAAGUAUGCUAAGCUUGGGGCAAGAUGGCUGACAAGACAUGGCCAGGUGGAAAUGCUGCCAGCAAGGGACUGAGGUUACUGGUGCACUCUUUCCACAGUGUCAGGCGGAAGGCAUCAGGAGUGGUCGAGAGAAGACACAGAAAUAAACUGGGCUGAAAUGGGAGGAACCUUACACAGGGCUACCAUACACCGGGACUGGGACUUGUUCCUGGUCCCCAGUGACUCUCAGGGAAUGGACCUAACUGGGAA